GCGUCCGUAGCUCAAUAGGAUAGAGCAUUUGACUUCGGAUCAAACGGUUGAGGGUUCGAAUCCUUCCGGGCGCA
rnacentral:tRNA from 1 species